CAUAUUGGUCAAAAGAAUAGUU
rnacentral:rRNA from 1 species